rnacentral:rRNA from 1 species
UCUGGUAGUUAUGGCGAGAAGGUCACACCCGUUCCCAUCCCGAACACGGUAGUUAAGCUUCUCUGCGCCAAUGGAAGAUGCGG